rnacentral:rRNA from 1 species
UACUAGAGUAGCACUCGCAUAUCAAUAAGCGGAGGAAAAGAAACUAACAAGGAUUCCCUUAGUAACGGCGAGUGAAGCGGGAAGAGCUCAAAUUUGAAAUCUUCAAGGUUUUACCUUGACGAAUUGUAGUUUAAAGAAGUGUUUUCUGUUGGAGUUUUGGUAAAAGUUCUUUGGAAUAGGACAUCAUAGAGGGUGAGAAUCCCGUAUUUGACCAUUAUUUCCAGCUGUGUGAUACACUUUCAAAGAGUCGGAUUGUUUGGGAAUGCAGUCCAAGAUGGGUGGUAAAUUUCAUCUAAAGCUAAAUAUUGGCGAGAGACCGAUAGCGAACAAGUACCGUGAGGGAAAGAUGAAAAGAACUUUGAAAAGAGAGUUAAACAGUACGUGAAAUUGUCAAAAGGGAAGCGUUUGACACCAGUGUUGUUUAUUCGAAAAUCAAUUCAAAUGAUUUGGAUUCUAGUAGUAUUGACUUCAUCAGCUUUCUGCACUUUCUUCUCAUAUUAUUAAUGCACUUUUCAGUUAACAAGUCUACAUCAAUUUCUUUUGUUGUAAAAGGGUAAGAGGAAGGUGGCUUGCGCUUCGGCUCAAGUGUUUAUAGCCUUUUAUCUCUGCAAUCGGAGAGAUUGAGGUCUGCAGCGUAGAUCCUUCGGGGUUAGAUACAUUGGUGCUAAGCUAUAGCCUUGUAUAGACAACUUGUUGACUAUGCUCAGUCAUGUAGCUUACUCGCUGAUGCUAUUUUACCUACGCUUAGGAUGUUGAUAGUCACAGCGUGUAC